AAGCGGAGGAAAAGAAACUAACAAGGAUUCCCCUAGUAACGGCGAGUGAAGCGGGAAGAGCUCAAAUUUGAAAUCUGGCAGUCUUCGAUUGUCCGAGUUGUAAUCUAUAGAGGCGUUUUCCGUGCCGGACCGUGUCCAAGUCUCCUGGAAAGGAGUAUCAAAGAGGGUGAUAAUCCCGUACUUAACACGACCACCGGUGCUCUGUGAUACGUCUUCUACGAGUCGAGUUGUUUGGGAAUGCAGCUCAAAAUGGGUGGUGAAUUCCAUCUAAAGCUAAAUAUUGGCGAGAGACCGAUAGCGAACAAGUACCGUGAGGGAAAGAUGAAAAGCACUUUGGAAAGAGAGUUAAACAGUACGUGAAAUUGUUGAAAGGGAAACGAUUGAAGUCAGUCGUGUUCUUUGGAUUCAGCCAGUUCUGCUGGUCUACUUCCUUGGAACGGGUCAACAUCAGUUUUGUCCGGUGGAUAAAGGUAGUAGGAAUGUGACUUCUCCGGAAGUGUUAUAGCCUAUUAUCACAUACACUGGGUGAGACUGAGGACUGCAGCUCGCCUUUAUGGCCGGUCUUCGGACACGUUCGAGCUUAGGAUGUUGACAUAAUGGCUUUAAACGACCCGU
rnacentral:rRNA from 1 species